UACGUAGGGUGCAAGCGUUAAUCGGAAUUACUGGGCGUAAAGCGUGCGCAGGCGGUUCUAUAAGACAGAUGUGAAAUCCCCGGGCUCAACCUGGGAACUGCAUUUGUGACUGUAGAGCUGGAGUACGGCAGAGGGGGAUGGAAUUCCGCGUGUAACAGUGAAAUGCGUAGAUAUGCGGAGGAACACCGAUGGCGAAGGCAAUCCCCUGGGCCUGUACUGACGCUCAUGCACGAAAGCGUGGGGAGCAAACAGG
rnacentral:rRNA from 1 species